rnacentral:rRNA from 1 species
UCACCUGUUUUUCAAAAACAUGUCUUAAAGAUUAUAAUUUUAAGUCUAAUCUGCUCAAUGAAAAAUUUAAAUAGCUGCAGUAUAAAUAACUGUACUAAGGUAGCAUAAUAAAUUGUUUUUUAAUUAAAAACUAGAAUGAAUGAUUAAAUGAAAUAUAGACUGUCUCAUAAUAAAAUAAUAAAAUUAUUAUUUAAGUAAAAAAACUUAAAUUAAUUUUAAAGACGAGAAGACCCUAAAGAAUUUCAUUAUUUAAAUUUUAAAUUAUUAAAUUAAAUUUAAAUAAUUUAAUUGGGGAAAUUUUAAAAUUUAAUUAAUUUUUAAUAAAAUAAAACAUUUAUUUUUGAAUAAUUAAUAUUUUUUAAAAAAAUAAAUAAAAUUACCUUAGGGAUAACAGCAUAAUUUUAUUUAAAAGUUCAAAUUUAUAUUAAAGUUUAUGACCUCG